UUUAACCAGGGAGGCAAUUUGUCCCAAAUGCCUCGAUUUCUUCAUCGAUCCAAUGUCUUUGGAGUGUGGGCACAACUUCUGCCGCUCCUGUAUUGGGAAAGGGAGGGGAGAAACUCCUGCCCGGAAUGUAGAGAGGAGAUUGCAGACCGCACUCUCAGGGUCAAUAGGGCCUUGGCAAAUCUGUCUGAGAAAGCUCGAAAACUAAACCUGAAUCCGAAAGGGAAGGAAAGUAAACUUCACUGCGAGGAACACGAGGAAGAACUGAAGCUGUUUUGUGAAACCGACAAGAAACUAAUCUGUGUGAUUUGUAGAGACCUGGCUGUUGAAAUCUACAAAAUAACUCAAACUUGAUACAUACUCAGCCCACCGUCCCUUGUCCUAACUACGACCACACGAGCCUCCGUAACCAAGAAAAGAAAUCAGACUUCCAGGGAAAGAAGCAGCAACAGAAAGAGAAGAUUUCAGGAGUUCAGGAACAGUCACACAGCCUUGAGUCCCACAUCACAUCCCAGUUUGCUGAACUGCGCCGGAUUAUCACCGAGAAAGAGCAGCACACACUCCGAGAUCUCAGGGAAGAGGAAGAGAGGAUUCUAAAUCCAAUGGAGAAAAAUCUUUAAGAUGAGGGAUUAU